GGUGGAAUCAAAGAGGUUGUGGAUGAUGAGAUAAGGUAGAAACAAAGAGGUGCAUGAUUGAGCUUAGUGUGUGGCUGAUGCAGAAAGCUUAGUGUGUUCUGAUGCAGAAAAAAAAUCUGAUAGAGUGAAAUGGAUUGAAAGAAGAAAUAAGAUGACAGUGAAUAAUGUAAAAUAAUCUGAUAGAGAAAAAGAAUAUGAUAGAGAAAAAUUCCUAUAUUUUAACCUAU
rnacentral:lncRNA from 1 species